CACUGCCCCUAUGUUUUGGAAUUCUUUACUUGAUCUUUCCUCUGAAUGACCACUCCCUGGAUUCAGGACCUUUGGAGUCACCAGUGUCAUUUAGCAACACAUAUACGGAUGCAAGAUAUGAGAUGGUGAAGCAAUUUAAAGAACUGCAGGACAAGCUCCCUCCAGCGGCAGACACUUUGCCCAACUUUCCUCUGGAGUCAUCAGGAUCAUAUAAAAGGUGUAUUCAGGCAUGUGAGGCUGCAAGUAGAGAGCAACUGAGGUCAUCACAACUGCAUGCGUCUGUAUAACUUCAGGGUCCAUGGGA